rnacentral:rRNA from 1 species
UGCAGAGGGUGCAAGCGUUAAUCGGAAUUACUGGGCGUAAAGCGCGCGUAGGCGGUUACGUAAGUUGGAUGUGAAAUCCCCGGGCUCAACCUGGGAAUUGCAUUCAAAACUGCGUGACUAGAGUGUGGGAGAGGAAGGUAGAAUUCCAGGUGUAGCGGUGAAAUGCGUAGAGAUCUGGAGGAAUACCGAUGGCGAAGGCAGCCUUCUGGCCUAAUACUGACGCUGAGGUACGAAAGCAUGGGGAGUAAACAGG